rnacentral:lncRNA from 1 species
ACAUAACUCUAAUUACCACUCUAGGUAAAGUAUAGUGAGAAGACUCACCUCGGGUAACUCGGUAAAUCUCGAACUCGGUAAUACUCAUCUAGCCUCCGCCUAAUCACAUGGAAUAAUUACUCUAAUCAAUACUGUUGGAUUAGUGUCUAAGCCCAUAACCAUAUUUGGUAAGUACUUGGCCCGGUUGUGCAUGGUCCUUUUGGGUUGCCUUCACCAAAGCAACUUGACUGGAGAAAUAAUAGAGAAAGAGGUUAUUAUGAUUUAUUAAUAUAUUAUAAGAAUAAUAUAUUAAAGGACAACUCAUAUUUGUUUAAUUAAUAUUGGUCAAUGACUAAUUAAGAAUUAAUUCUGUGAUCAAAUCUAAUUAAUUAAACUAGAGGGGCUAAAUUGUAAUUAUGUGAUAGUUGCAAAUUAGGGCAAUGGAUUCCCCAUGGAUAGUGUGGACGAAUUCAAGGU